CAGCUGCGUUAACCCCGUGUGUACAUCUCGUCUACUAAUAAUCAGAUAGUAUAACAGAUAGUAUAACAGAUCAAAACAAAAGCUAUUAAAACAGACACAAGUCUUAUACACGCAGCCGCAGUUCGAAAGAAUUGGGGAACUAGGGUUUCGGAACAGGGGUUUCAAAAUCCAUGCUUGAAUCGCAGUCGGCUGACUCGUUUAUGAAGGACGUUCAAGAACAGUUGAUUUGUGUUGUCCGAUUGUGUUGAGCCAGAUGCUAGAUGCCAAAGCAAUUUAGAGUUUUCGAGUAGCGUGACUGUGAUGUCACUAGUUGUGCUAUCAGAGGCAAAGAUUAAGAUGAUUCGAUUGUUGAGCUGCGCGUAAGAUUGAUGAUAUGCGAAAUUGCCAGUGAGAUGUCUGCAAGAAUAAUUCCGGUUAGAAUUGAAUUAUUUCAGUUUAGUUGUAUAAUAGAUUUAUUUAUUUGGUUAUCAGUUACUCUUCUUAUCGAGGUUUAACUGAUAAUGUAGUUUAAGUUGUCAUAAGAUUUGAAAUUUUGGUUUCUGAUUUCAGUGCUGUAACCUAUUAGCGAUCCUGUUUUUAGGGGGUCAAAGUGAUUUUGAUUUAAAUAUCUUUUAAAAUUUCCAGAUUUUUAAUAUCUUUUAAAAUUUCCAGA